AUUAGCCAUGCAUGUCUCAGUACAUGCCGAAUUAAGGUGAAACCGCGAAUGGCUCAUUAAAUCAGUUAUGGUUCAUUAGAUCGUGGACACAUUUACUUGGAUAACUGUGGUAAUUCUAGAGCUAAUACAUGCAAACAGAAUUCCUCUCAGAGAUGGGAGGAAUGCUUUUAUUAGAUCAAAACCAAUCGGUGGCGGACGGCUCGUCCGUUCGUCCAUCGUUUGUUUUGGUGACUCUGAAUAACUUUGUGCUGAUCGCAUGGUCAUCUAGCACCGGCGACGCAUCUUUCAAAUGUCUGCCUUAUCAACUGUCGAUGGUAGGUUCUGCGCCUACCAUGGUUGUAACGGGUAACGGGGAAUCAGGGUUCGAUUCCGGAGAGGGAGCCUGAGAAACAGCUACCACAUCCAAGGAAGGCAGCAGGCGCGCAAAUUACCCACUCCCGGCACGGGGAGGUAGUGACGAAAAAUAACGAUACGGGACUCAUCCGAGGCCCCGUAAUCGGAAUGAGUACACUUUAAAUCCUUUAACGAGGACCAAUUGGAGGGCAAGUCUGGUGCCAGCAGCCGCGGUAAUUCCAGCUCCAAUAGCGUAUAUUAAAGUUGUUGCGGUUAAAAAGCUCGUAGUUGAAUCUGUGUGUCACAGUGUCGGUUCACCGCUCGCGGUGUUUAACUGGCAUUAUGUGGUACGUCCUAUCGGUGGGCUUAGCUCCUUGCGGGCGGUCCAACUAAUAUCCCAUCGCGGUGCUCUUCACUGAGUGUCGAGGUGGGCCGAUACGUUUACUUUGAAAAAAUUAGAGUGCUUAAAGCAGGCUACCUUUGCCUGAAUACUGUGUGCAUGGAAUAAUGGAAUAGGACCUCGGUUCUAUUUUGUUGGUUUUCGGAACCCCGAGGUAAUGAUUAAUAGGGACAGAUGGGGGCAUUCGUAUUGCGACGUUAGAGGUGAAAUUCUUGGAUCGUCGCAAGACGGACAGAAGCGAAAGCAUUUGCCAAAAAUGUUUUCAUUAAUCAAGAACGAAAGUUAGAGGGU
rnacentral:rRNA from 1 species